rnacentral:rRNA from 1 species
CGGGUGAGUAACGCGUGAGGAACCUGCCUCAAAGAGGGGGACAGCAGUUGGAAACGACUGCUAAUACCGCAUAAGCCCACGGCUCGGCAUCGAGCAGAGGGAAAAGGAGUGAUCCGCUUUGAGAUGGCCUCGCGUCCGAUUAGCUGGUUGGUGAGGUAACGGCCCACCAAGGCGACGAUCGGUAGCCGGACUGAGAGGUUGAACGGCCACAUUGGGACUGAGACACGGCCCAG